GAUGAACGCUGGCGGCGUGCCUAGUACAUGCAAGUCGAGCGAACAGACGAGGAGCUUGCUCCUCUGACGUUAGCGGCGGACGGGUGAGUAACACGUGGAUAACCUACCUAUAAGACUGGGAUAACUUCGGGAAACCGGAGCUAAUACCGGAUAAUAUAUUGAACCGCAUGGUUCAAUAGUGAAAGACGGUUUUGCUGUCACUUAUAGAUGGAUCCGCGCCGCAUUAGCUGGUUGGUAAGGUAACGGCUUACCAAGGCAACGAUGCGUAGCCGACCUGAGAGGGUGAUCGGCCACACUGGAACUGAGACACGGUCCAGACUCCUGCGGGAGGCAGCAGUAGGGAAUCUUCCGCAAUGGGCGAAAGCCUGACGGAGCAACGCCGCGUGAGUGAUGAAGGUCUUCGGAUCGUAAAACUCUGUUAUUAGGGAAGAACAAAUGUGUAAGUAACUAUGCACGUCUUGACGGUACCUAAUCAGAAAGCUACGGCUAACUACGUG
rnacentral:rRNA from 1 species